AUGGUGUACAAGUUACUCAACGAUUCAUAUGGGUUGGCCGACGGCUACUACGGACUAGAAUUGCCAAUCCAGAAGGCAUCAGUGAGCGUUGGAGGCUCCCACCAAACCCGCAAGGUCUGCCUCCAACCUAACCCACAAAGAAGCAUGCGACGGAACUGUCAUGCAACGCUUCCUUGCAAAAGAGCUGAUGGUUGGAUGGAGCUGGAGCUGGGCAAGUUUGUUUGCGAGGGGCAUGAAGAUGGGGACGUGUCCUUCGGUCUGUCAGAGAUGAAAGAUUUGAGAAGGAAGAACAGUCUUAUCGUGCAGAGUAUUGAGAUUAGGCAUAAGAUUUGA
rnacentral:rRNA from 1 species